rnacentral:rRNA from 1 species
UACGUAGGGGGCUAGCGUUGUCCGGAAUCAUUGGGCGUAAAGCGCGUGUAGGCGGUCCGGUAAGUCUGCUGUGAAAGUCGGGGGCUCAACCCUCGAAUGCCGGUGGAUACUGUCGGGCUAGAGUGCGGAAGAGGCGAGUGGAAUUCCUGGUGUAGCGGUGAAAUGCGCAGAUAUCAGGAGGAACACCUAUUGCGAAGGCAGCUCGCUGGGACGUAACUGACGCUGAGACGCGAAAGCUAGGGGAGCAAACAGG